rnacentral:rRNA from 1 species
AUACGGAGGGUGCAAGCGUUAAUCGGAAUUACUGGGCGUAAAGCUCGCGUAGGCGGAUAUUUAAGUCUCAUGUGAAAGCCCUGGGCUCAACCUGGGAACUGCAUGGGAUACUGGGUAUCUAGAAUACAGUAGAGGGUAGUGGAAUUUCAGGUGUAGCGGUGAAAUGCGUAGAGAUCUGAAGGAACAUCAGUGGCGAAGGCGACUACCUGGACUGAUAUUGACGCUGAGGUGCGAAAGCGUGGGGAGCAAACAGGAUUAGAAACCCUAGUAGUCC